rnacentral:snoRNA from 1 species
GGGACUGUACUUCUCAGGAUCAUUUCUGUAGUACGUAUUCCUUUGCGGAGACGCAAACUGCUUCACAAAGCACCCUCGAUGACGAGUUUAGGCGUUGUCCCCUGAGCGUGAAGCUUGUUGGGACGUUGCCAAAUUUUUGGAUGCCCUGACGUUGAAGACCGUCAGCUGGCCCUUUUGGGUCGGCUAUGGGGGCAACGCUCUCUGAGCGGG